rnacentral:lncRNA from 1 species
GGAGCUUGCUGGAAACCAGCCUGUCCGUGUUUGCUCCAAGCACCUCCACCCAUGGCCAAUCUGCUCUGUGCCCAGGCGCCUGCCCUCAGUUCAGCAGGGGCAGACACCUGCCAGAGAACAAAGUGGUGAUGAAGAGAGCUGUUAAUGAGACACAUUGCUACCCGCACAUUCUCUGGGCAGAUCCAGAUACUCUUUGGCUUCUCUCAAGGCCUCUUGUUCCAGCUCCGGAUUUCACUGUGGUGAUGCCCUGUGCAUGGGUUCCAACAUACUGGCCCCUGGUGUAAUGUGACAGUGUCUCACACCAGCCACCAUGAGUCACUGCCUUCUCUGAUGACCCUGAUACCUCUUCGGCCUGGCCGGUGCUCAUUCAUAUGUGGCCUGUGAAACUGUAGAUCAGUGUGUCCACCAGAAGAUGAGAGUUGGAGCAGCGUGCUUCUGCUCCUUCAGACUGAGCAGCCAUGUUGAGUGUGAUGCUCCGAUUUUGCCUAACACUCCUCACCUGACCGGUGGCAGAAAGCGUGUCCUUCCACUGACUGCCUCUCCUCCACCUGGGAAAGCAGGUGCUUCAUCCCAGAAUACACCUGCUCCUCCGAAGGAGGGUGCCUGAAUUAUAAAUGAGCCUCCGACAGAUAGAGAUGCGCUCAAUACAAGAGAAAGGGGGAACAGUCCAAAGGCUCUGCCUUCUUCAGCUCGGGACACAGGGAUGUUUCUCGAAGCCCCCCACCUCCGCCCACAUCACCCCCCCUGCCUCUGAUCUCCCAGUCCUCAGUCUUUUCCCUUAACUUUGGGAGCUCAGGGUGAAAGCAUCCUGCAAGUGGACUACAGCGGAUUCCCUUCUGAAGAUCAGAUGAAAGGUCAUUCAUGGUCAUUGAUCAGGAAGAGUGAGGGAAGGCAAGAAGAAAGGUACUGUGGGUUUAUGGACUCCUCCAUAGUUCUCACUGCAACAGUAUGGAGAGGUGGAGAAGUCAUGAAGAUGUGGAUUAGUGCCGCUGAAGAAGGGGUGGGUGCCUGAUGAAUGCAGUCUCCUAGUCCAUCCGUGUACCUCACCCCAUCCCAUGAGAUAAGGCAGUGUGAAGCACUAGACGUGGCCUCUCAAUCUACUGACUUCCAGCCUGCAGAACCAGGAGCCAGAUCAGCUUCCAUUCUGUGUGCGUUGCCCGGCUGGUGCUAUUUGAUUAUAGCAGCACAAAGUAGGCUAACACAGAAGAGAAAGGACAGAGAAGAUGGACUGCCAAGUGUCUGCUGAGCCUGGGACACAGCAGGAUUGGCAGCCAAUUCUGCUCUCUCCUUAGUGGGCACUGCCAACGCCACAAGUGACCGUCUCCGAGGAGAGGCUCGGACACUGCUGCCAGGGGGGCAUUGGUGGAGUAUGUUCUCUCUGAGAUUUCCCUUCACCUCUGUCCAAAGCUCAUCACUGGCUCCAGGGUCCUCCUUCAGUAAAGAGUGGCAUGGGGACACACUCAUGCAAGGAUGACUGGGUCCCUGGUCAGGAGCCUAUGCUAAGAAGUUUCCCAAACCAUGUUUUCUUUUUUUUUUUAAGAUUUAUUUAUUAUUUAUUAUAUGUAAGUACACUGUAGCUGUCUUCAGACACUCCAGAAGAGGGAGUCAGAUCUCAUUAUGGAUGGUUGUGAGCCACCAUGUGGUUGCUGGGAUUUGAACUCCGGACCUUCAGAAGAGCAGUCGGGUGCUCUUACCUGCUGAGCCAUCUCACCAGCCCCAAACCAUGUUUUCUUUCUGUAUCUUUGGCCUAACUCACAAAAUCCUGACCCUUUAUUGUCCACUGUGAGUACAAUCUCCCUUCCUUCAGGUAAGGGCCAAAACCUACACUCUCAAGUCUUCUGAGGCCAUAGUCCAAGCCAACUAGAAUUAUUGCAGUACACAUUUAGGCAAUGGCAUACAUGGACCCUUAGCACUGUGCACCCAGUUAGGGAAGGAGGCCAUUUCCUUACCCAAAGACCUCGGGAACCUUACACCCUGCUCUGAGCCAGAGCCCUCUCCUGCACACGUAGCUGAGGAGUUUGGGGCUCUGAGUACCUUGCUGAGCCCCACUUGGUGCCUGCACACAUCCUGCAGAGCUGAAUAAAGCAGAAGGUGUCUGCUUACAUUUAAAUUCAGGUAAGCAAUGAAGUCGGUAUGAUUAUAUCCC